GACGAACGCUGGCGGCAUGCCUAAUACAUGCAAGUCGAGCGAACAGAUGAAGUUCUUGCACUUCUGACGUUAGCGGCGAACGGGUGAGUAACACGUAAGGAAUCUAUCUAUAAGCGGGGGAUAACAUUCGGAAACGGGUGCUAAUACCGCAUAAUAUCUUCUUCCGCAUGGAAGAAGAUUGAAAGACGGCUCUGCUGUCACGUAUAGAUGACCUUGCGGUGCAUUAGGUAGUUGGUGGGGUAACGGCCUACCAAGACGAUGAUGCAUAGCCGACCUGAGAGGGUGAUAGGCCACAUUGGGACUGAGACGCGGACCAAAGUCCUACGGGAGGCAGCAGUAGGGAAUCUUCCGCAACGGGCGAGAGCCUGACGGAGCAAUGCCGCGUGAGUGAAGAAGGCCUUCGGGUCGUAAAACUCUGCUAUAAGAGAAGAACAAAUUGUAGAGUAACUGCUACAGUCUUGACGGUAUCUUAUCAGAAAGCCACGGCUAACUACGUG
rnacentral:rRNA from 1 species